rnacentral:rRNA from 1 species
GACGAACGCUGGCGGCGUGCUUAACACAUGCAAGUCGAACGGAAAGGCCCUGCUUUUGUGGGGUGCUCGAGUGGCGAACGGGUGAGUAACACGUGAGUAACCUGCCCUUGACUUUGGGAUAACUUCAGGAAAUUGGGGCUAAUACCGGAUAGGAGCUCCUGCUGCAUGGUGGGGGUUGGAAAGUUUCGGCGGUUGGGGAUGGACUCGCGGCUUAUCAGCUUGUUGGUGGGGUAGUGGCUUACCAAGGCUUUGACGGGUAGCCGGCCUGAGAGGGUGACCGGCCACAUUGGGACUGAGAUACGGCCCAGACUCCUACGGGAGGCAGCAGUGGGGAAUAUUGCACAAUGGGCGGAAGCCUGAUGCAGCAACGCCGCGUGCGGGAUGACGGCCUUCGGGUUGUAUACCGCUUUCGCCUGUGACGAAGCGUGAGUGACGGUAAUGGGUAAAGAAGCACCGGCUAACUACGUG